rnacentral:rRNA from 1 species
UGGGGAAUAUUGGACAAUGGGCGCAAGCCUGAUCCAGCCAUGCCGCGUGAGUGACGAAGGCCUUAGGGUUGUAAAGCUCUUUUGGCGGGGAAGAUAAUGACGGUACCCGCAGAAUAAGCUCCGGCUAACUUCGUGCCAGCAGCCGCGGUAAUACGAAGGGGGCUAGCGUUGUUCGGAAUCACUGGGCGUAAAGCGCACGUAGGCGGAUUUGUUAGUCAGGGGUGAAAUCCCGGGGCUCAACCUCGGAACUGCCUCUGAUACUGCAAAUCUCGAGUCCGAUAGAGGUGAGUGGAAUUCCCAGUGUAGAGGUGAAAUUCGUAGAUAUUGGGAAGAACACCAGUGGCGAAGGCGGCUAACUGGUCCGGUACUGACGCUGAGGUGCGAAAGCGUGGGGAGCAAACAGGAUUAGAUACCCACGUAGUCCCUGAGCGGGCUGGCAAGGCGCAU